UUUCAAUGAGACCUUCAAAUGUUCAAAAGGUGAUAAGCAACAGCAGUUUCUUCGCAUGUAAACAACUUGUAGAAGUGGCGAGAAUUAGUCUAAUUUCCAACAGGCGUCUGUGGAGAUCGCUUUUCACUCAGUAAUUUCGGAAUGUCAGUUAUUGGUACGGAAAUGGAUUUCGAGUCUACAAUUUGGUUUAGUCUCCUGCUAAUUGUUAUUUUGCUUGCGAUAUUUGCUUAUUGGUUUUGGUGCAUAUGGCGGCCAAACCAGGUCAUACGCAAUGUGAUACGAAAAUCAACAGCACAAUGUGAUGAAAACGAAGAAGUAUACAACGAAUUAUUAUGUGAUUGAAGUUUUUUCAUUAAAGUAAAUAGUAUAUAAGACAUAUAAGUCAGAUUUCUGAAGAAUAAGAAUAAUCGAAACGUGCAAUUUGGUGGUUUGGGAAACACUGCAUUUUAUCAGCAUGUGCGCACUUUGCCGACCAUCAGCGCUUACUUUUCUCCACUUUAUGCUUUAUCAUAUAAUAAAAAAAAAUGAAAUUGCGACCGGCACGCACAGCCUGCUAGCAAUUAUACAUAAAUAAAUGAAAGUUUUAGUAAUUUGA